rnacentral:snRNA from 1 species
GUGCUCGCUUUGGCAGCACAUAAACCAAAACUGGAACGAUACAGAGAAGAUUAGCAUGGCCCCUGUGCAAAGAUGAAAUGAAGCAUUCCAUAUUUUU